rnacentral:rRNA from 1 species
GAUGAACGCUGGCGGCGUGCCUAAUACAUGCAAGUCGAGCGAACAGAUAAGGAGCUUGCUCCUUUGAAGUUAGCGGCGGACGGGUGAGUAACACGUGGGUAACCUACCUAUAAGACUGGGAUAACUUCGGGAAACCGGAGCUAAUACCGGAUAACAUUUAGAACCGCAUGGUUCUAAAGUGAAAGAUGGUUUUGCUAUCACUUAUAGAUGGACCCGCGCCGUAUUAGCUAGUUGGUAAGGUAACGGCUUACCAAGGCGACGAUACGUAGCCGACCUGAGAGGGUGAUCGGCCACACUGGAACUGAGACACGGUCCAGACUCCUACGGGAGGCAGCAGUAGGGAAUCUUCCGCAAUGGGCGAAAGCCUGACGGAGCAACGCCGCGUGAGUGAUGAAGGGUUUCGGCUCGUAAAACUCUGUUAUUAGGGAAGAACAAAUGUGUAAGUAACUGUGCACAUCUUGGCGGUACCUAAUCAGAAAGCCACGGCUAACUACGUGCCAGCAGCCGCGGUAAUACGUAGGUGGCAAGCGUUAUCCGGAAUUAUUGGGCGUAAAGCGCGCGUAGGCGGUUUCUUAAGUCUGAUGUGAAAGCCCACGGCUCAACCGUGGAGGGUCAUUGGAAACUGGGAAACUUGAGUGCAGAAGAGGAAAGUGGAAUUCCAUGUGUAGCGGUGAAAUGCGCAGAGAUAUGGAGGAACACCAGUGGCGAAGGCGACUUUCUGGUCUGUAACUGACGCUGAUGUGCGAAAGCGUGGGGAUCAAACAGGAUUAGAUACCCUGGUAGUCCACGCCGUAAACGAUGAGUGCUAAGUGUUAGGGGGUUUCCGCCCCUUAGUGCUGCAGCUAACGCAUUAAGCACUCCGCCUGGGGAGUACGACCGCAAGGUUGAAACUCAAAGGAAUUGACGGGGACCCGCACCAGCGGUGGAGCAUGUGGUUUAAUUCUAAGCAACGCGAAGAACCUUACCAAAUCUUGACAUCCUUUGAAAAACUCUAGAGAUAGAGCCUUCCCCUUCGGGGGACAAAGUGACAGGUGGUGCAUGGUUGUCGUCAGCUCGUGUCGUGAGAUGUGGGGUUAAGUCCCGCAACGAGCGCAACCCUUAAGCUUAGUUGCCAUCAUCAAGUUGGGCACUCUAGGUUGACUGCCGGUGACAAACCGGAGGAAGGUGGGGAUGACGUCAAAUCAUCAUGCCCCUUAUGAUUUGGGCUACACACGUGCCUACAAUGGACAAUACAAAGGGCAGCUAAACCGCGAGGUCAUGCAAAUCCCAUAAAGUUGUUGUCAGUUCGGAUUGUAGUCUGCAACUCGACUACAUGAAGCUGGAAUCACUAGUAAUCGUAGAUCAGCAUGCUACGGUGAAUACGUUCCCGGGUAU